rnacentral:lncRNA from 1 species
UUACAUUUUAUUUGAAGAGCAUGAAGAGAAAGAGUAAAUUGUUAAAGAAAUGAACUGCAAAUUGAAGAUUUUUCCAAGAUCCCAUCAAAUCCCAUCACUCUUCAAAUCUAACCAUGGGAUUCAACAACAUGAGAUUGAUGACAUUUUCGUUCAUAUAUACUAUGAGAAAGCCACUUUGAGAAAGAGAAAGGAAAAUCAUUUGUUUGUUUUCUGUUCAGCUUCAGGUUUCUUGGUCCACCUUUGGAAUCGGUAGCAGCUACAACUAUAUGUUUGGGUAUGAUUUUGAGAAGAUGAGCAAUAUCUGGAUUGAAAGUGAGCAUAGAUCUGAAUGAGUUAGGAUGGUAUUGAGAUUCAGAUUUUGGAAUUGAUGGUGAGGAUUGAAUGAUGAGAUGGAAAAAAGAUAUAGAGCUAGAAACGUGGGGAAGAAAGGCAUGGAAAGAGGAAGAGGUUGUUGGGGUUAAUAGAGAGAUUU